AGUGAACGCUGGCGGUGGGCCUAAUACAUGCAAGUCGAACGGCAGGAUGGUAAGCUCGUGCCCCUGAGGGUAGCGACUGGCGGAUGGGUGAGGAAUGGAUAACCUACUACUAUUUCGGGGGGGAUAACGGAGGGCCACUUACGCUACUAGCUCAUAUGUUCAACGGCAGGGAUCAGUGGAUCAUCGCGCCUUGCGCGUUACAAUUAGCUGAUGUCGCAUUAGCUAGUCGGCGGGGUAAAGGCACACCAAGGCAACGAUCCGUAGCUGAUCUGAGAGGGUGAUCGGCCACACUGGAACUGAGACACGGUCCAGACUCCUACGGGAGGCAGCAGUAGGGAAUAUUGGGCAAUGGGCGAAAGCCUGAUCCAGCAAUGCCGCGUGAGUGAAGAAGGCCUUCGGGUUGUAAAGCCCUUUUGUUGGGAAAGAAAAGCAGUGGAUUAAUACCCGGCUGUUCUGACGGUACCCAAAGAGAAAGCCACGGCUAACUUCGUG
rnacentral:rRNA from 1 species